AUUGAACGCUGGCGGCAUGCUUUACACAUGCAAGUCGGACGAGUGGCGAACGGGUGAGUAACGCAUCGGCACGUGCCGAGUAAUGGGGGAUAACUGUCCGAAAGGACAGCUAAUACCGCAUAUUAUUCGAGCGGCCGAGGUCUGUUUAGCUGGUUGGGGGGGUAAAGGCCCCCAAAGGCGACGAUCAGUAGCGGGUGUGAGAGGAUGAUCCGCCACAGUGGGACUGAGACACGGCCCAGACCCAUACGGGAGGCAGCAGGGGGAAAUUUUGGAAAAUGGGCGAAAGCGUGCUCCAGCCAUGCCGCGUGUCUGAAGAAGGCCUGCGGGUUGUAAAGGACUUUUGUAAGGGAAGCGGAACCAGAAGAAUAAGCACCGGCUAACUACGUGCCAGAGCCGCGGUAAUAC
rnacentral:rRNA from 1 species